rnacentral:rRNA from 1 species
UACGUAGGAGGCGAGCGUUGUCCGGAAUCACUGGGCGUAAAGCGCGUGUAGGCGGUGGGGGAAGUCUGCUGUGAAAGCGCCUGGCUCAACCGGGCGAGGUCGGCGGAAACUCUCUCACUGGAGGCCGGUAGAGGGGGGUGGAAUUCCCGGUGUAGUGGUGAAAUGCGCAGAUAUCGGGAGGAACACCAAUGGCGAAGGCAGCUCGCUGGGACGGUACUGACGCUGAGACGCGAAAGCGUGGGGAGCAAACAGG